UCCGGGUUGAUCCUGCCGGACCCGACUGCUAUCAGAGUGGGACUAAGCCAUGCGAGUCAACAUAGCAAUAUGUGGCAUACGGCUCAGUAACACGUAGUCAACAUGCCCAGGGGACGUGGAUAACCUCGGGAAACUGAGGAUAAACCGCGAUAGGUCAUCACUUCUGGAAUGGGUAAUGACUUAAAUCUAUAUGGCCCCUGGAUUGGACUGCGGCCGAUCAGGCUGUUGGUGAGGUAAUGGCCCACCAAACCUGUAACCGGUACGGGCUCUGAGAGGAGGAGCCCGGAGAUGGGCACUGAGACAAGGGCCCAGGCCCUAUGGGGCGCAGCAGGCGCGAAACCUCUGCAAUAGGCGAAAGCUUGACAGGGUUACUCUGAGUGAUUUCCGUUAAGGAGAUCUUUUGGCACCUCUAAAAAUGGUGCAGAAUAAGGGGUGGGCAAGUCUGGUGUCAGCCGCCGCGGUAAUACCAGCACCCCGAGUGGUCGGGACGUUUAUUGGGCCUAAAGCAUCCGUAGCCGGUUCUACAAGUCUUCCGUUAAAUCCACCUGCUUAACAGAUGGGCUGCGGAAGAUACUAUAGAGCUAGGAGGCGGGAGAGGCAAGCGGUACUCGAUGGGUAGGGGUAAAAUCCGUUGAUCCAUUGAAGACCACCAGUGGCGAAGGCGGCUUGCCAGAACGCGCUCGACGGUGAGGGAUGAAAGCUGGGGGAGCAAACCGGAUUAGAUACCCGGGUAGUCCCAGCUGUAAACGAUGCAGACUCGGUGAUGAGUUGGCUUAUUGCUAACUCAGUGCCGCAGGGAAGCCGUUAAGUUUGCCACGGGGGGCGUACGGUCGCAAGACUGAAACUUGAAGCUUUAAGGGGGGAGCA
rnacentral:rRNA from 1 species